CGCACACACUCAGCGUCUGAGCCGGUAGCUCUCCACUAGUGUAGCCACAGCAGCAGCAGCAGCCUGGAGGAAAAGUGAGGAGUGGACGUGAAAGAAAGAAAGGAAGGCCCGUGAGGAAAGGAAGAGGACUCACAGGCAGUUCUUCUGAGCUGGACUGGUUCUGAGAGAGGAGACACUUCAGCAGCGUUUAUGUUCAGCUGUCUUGUGAUCUGCCGGUAUGUGAACUGACACACAUACGCACUUCUUGUUUGCGUUCUUCUGAACAUACCUAGCAUGCUGACCCGGGAGGCUGACCAAUUCCACAUUCUCCACGAUAAUAAAACCCUUCGGGACAUGCUGGAAUAGGGAAAUAAUCAACGACAAGACGGUGUCGUCCAGAGUCAUGUCCCGGCAUGUUUCAUUCCUCAGCAAUUUGCCGAAUGUUUAUUUUUUUUAUCCAUUUAUAGCUACAUUUAAUGUUGUAGAACGUCCAUGAAACAAGUUCGUUCCUGAUCUCACUUAUGUUAUAGCAGCUAUAAACA